CGGGCGAUGCUUUACCAUGCAAGUCGAGCGGCAGCGCGGGGCAACCUGGCGGCGAGCGGCGAACGGGUGAGUAAUGCAUCGGAACAUGUCCAUGUCGUGGGGGAUAGCCCGGCGAAAGCCGGAUUAAUACCGCAUACGCCCGAGAGGGGAAAGUGGGGGACCGCAAGGCCUCACGCGAUUGGGUUGGCCGAUGUCCGAUUAGCUAGUUGGUGAGGUAAAGGCUCACCAAGGCGAUGAUCGGUAGCUGGUCUGAGAGGAUGAUCAGCCACACUGGGACUGAGACACGGCCCAGACUCCUACGGGAGGCAGCAGUGGGGAAUUUUGGACAAUGGGGGCAACCCUGAUCCAGCCAUUCCGCGUGAGUGAAGAAGGCCUUCGGGUUGUAAAGCUCUUUUGUCCGGAACGAAACGGUUGCGACUAACACUUGCGACUACUGACGGUACCGGAAGAAUAAGCGCCGGCUAACUACGUGCCAGCAGCCGCGGUAAUACGUAGGGUGCGAGCGUUAAUCGGAAUUACUGGGCGUAAAGCGUGCGCAGGCGGUUUUGUAAGCCAGAUGUGAAAUCCCCGGGCUUAACCUGGGAAUGGCAUUUGGGACUGCAAGGCUGGAGUGCGGCAGAGGAGACUGGAAUUCCUGGUGUAGCAGUGAAAUGCGUAGAUAUCAGGAGGAAUACCGAUGGCGAAGGCAGGUCUCUGGGCUGACACUGACGCUCAUGCACGAAAGCGUGGGGAGCAAACAGGAUUAGAUACCCUGGUAGUCC
rnacentral:rRNA from 1 species